UUUCAGGUUUGUGAUAUCAUAGAUUGCUAAUUGUAGCAAUAUUCAAACACCCAAAUGAAAAUUGUCAGAAGGAACUCGAGACAAUAAAUAGGCAGUAUCCAUUUGAACCUCUGAAGUACCUAGAGAAAACGUUGAAGCUAACGUACGAGGAAGGGAUUAAAAUGCUCAAGGAUUUCCGAUCCUAGCGGGAAAAGGAGGGAAACGGCGGCGCCCUUGGGCGUCGUUAUCCUUCUUGAAGGCAUCUCGGAAGAGUUCAUCCACUCAUCUCUGGGGUGUGGGCAAGUUGGUGGUAUAGUUUCGAGUUGGCUGAUGUCGGAAUUGUUGUUUCUUUUUUGUUUCUCUUCUUUUUUCGGGGCUUUGCACAAUUUUCCCUUUUAAAUCGCGUGGUUUUCGGCCUUGUUUUCCUCAUAAACAGGGCCAUUCUGUAAUUUUAUUUUCCUCUCUUAAUGAAUUGGGCAAAGCUCCUGCCUUUCUCCUAAAAAAGGCCUUUGUUGGGUAGACAAUACAUCUACAUAUAACAACUGUGCAGACUACAAAUGUUUUCCCCAUUCCUUCCCAAAUUAGAAAAGGUAUAAUUAAGUUCAAUGACAUGUGGGUUUACCAAGGUAACCAAUCAAGCUAAACUGGAUUAGCAUUUUUUUUCUACUCCCUCCGUCGUAAAAUAUAAGAGCGUUUUUGACACUAUACUAGAGUCAAAAACACUCUUAUAUUAUGGGACGGAGGGAGUAACUUCUAUGAAUGCCACACAAAUUGUAAUGGUAAUUUCUAUACAUGUGUGUGAUUUUGCAGCAUACCAAUGAAGCCUUAAAAAUAACUUGGAUUGGUAAAAAGUAAAAUUAGACGGUGGGAGCUGUGUUUCAUUCUGGAAUCCUCUAGGCAGGGUGCUUGCAAUCCCCUACAUCUCGGCUGCAACAAAAAAGACCCAACGAGGCUGUUGUUUCAAGCUCAGACCCUCUUCAUUGCACGCGGUGCUAGAAGGAGAACUGGGUUGUGGUGGUGUUGCUGGUCGUUUUCCUUUUUACUUUUGCACUUUGGCCAUCAUAAACGACACAGGCUUGCUCCCCGGAUGGAUCUCUUUCUCUCCCUGGAUCUUUUAAACAGAGGCGGCAGUUACCAUAGGGAAGAGGUCAAGAACAUCUAGCUCUUGUGGUGUUCCUCCUCAUUGUUGUCAUCGCCAUCAACAGCAACAAUGACGACCGGCUCAUGGGACGGCUACUAGAGAGGGAGCGAGGAAGGGGGAGACAGAUCUUUCAGGAGCUCGGUCAAAAAUCACCUAAGGAAAAUCUGUCGUUCUUCUCUACAAGGGUUGCAUGUGGAAUUUGAGGAGAAUCUGUGCACCAGCAUCCGACUCCUUGAUGUUGCUCUGAUCAUAUUGUGUAAAUAUAUUUCUAAUAAAGCAAUCGC